UACGUAGGGUGCAAGCGUUAAUCGGAAUUACUGGGCGUAAAGCGUGCGCAGGCGGUUAUAUAAGACAGUUGUGAAAUCCCCGGGCUCAACCUGGGAACUGCAUCUGUGACUGUAUAGCUAGAGUACGGUAGAGGGGGAUGGAAUUCCGCGUGUAGCGGUGAAAUGCGUAGAGAUCGGGAGGAACACCAGAGGCGAAGGCGGCGACCUGGACAAGUACUGACACUCAACUACGAAAGCGUGGGGAGCAAACAGG
rnacentral:rRNA from 1 species